rnacentral:rRNA from 1 species
GAUCCUGGCUCAGAAUGAACGCUGGCGGCAUGGAUUAGGCAUGCAAGUCGAACGUACUCCCUCGGGGAGAAGUGGCGAAAGGGUGAGUAACACGUGAGCAACCUGCCUCCGGAUCCGGAAUAAUCCAGGGAAACUUGGUCUAAAACCGGAUGAAGACAUUGGGCCGCAUGGUCUGGUGUUAAAAUAUUUAUAGUCCGGAGAGGGGCUCGCGGCCCAUUAGCUUGUUGGCGGGGUAAUGGCCCACCAAGGCUACGACGGGUAGGUGGUCUGAGAGGAUGGUCACCCACACUGGGACUGAGACACUGCCCAGACUCCUACGGGAGGCUGCAGUCGAGAAUCUUCCGCAAUGGGCGCAAGCCCUGACGGAGCGAUGCCGCGUGAGGGAUGAAGGCCUUCGGGUUGUAAACCUCUGUCAUCCGGGACGAAAACAAUGACGGUACCGGAAAAGGAAGCCACGGCUAACCACGUGCCAGCCGCCGC